rnacentral:rRNA from 1 species
UACGUAGGGUGCAGGCGUUAAUCGGAAUUACUGGGCGUAAAGCGUGCGCAGGCGGUUUGCUAAGACCGGUGUGAAAUCCCCGGGCUUAACCUGGGAACUGCGCUUGUUACUGGCAGGCUUGAGUGUGGCAGAGGGGGGUGGAAUUCCACGUGUAGCAGUGAAAUGCGUAGAGAUGUGGAGGAACACCGAUGGCGAAGGCAGCCCCCUGGGAUAACACUGACGCUCAUGCACGAAAGCGUGGGGAGCAAACAGG